AGAUGAGGAAGCAUUACAGCAAGCUGCGCACUGAGCCUGGACCAUGCAGCCUCUCCAGUGUGCUCACCUGCUCCUCCUGCUUGCCCUGCUUGCCUUCUGCUUGCCCUCAGGCUGGGCGGAGGACAACAGCACCAUGACAAAUGGGGCACCAGACCAGAGCCCGCCCUGCGGCAGCCCGGCCCUCCUGUCCCUCGCACUGGGGCUGGCUGCGUUCCUCCUGCGGCUGUGCUGAGCUGGGCCCGAAGACCCCUGCAGGCCGGCAUCCCCCUGCUCCGGAUCUCCGCCGCCAGGCCCAGCCAGCUCCUGUCCCCGUGUUCCCGCAGCGCUUCCCUAUGGCCGCAGCCUCCAGGAGGACCAACUCCAAGCACAGCCUCCGCAGUUGUGCUGUGAAGCUCUGAGAAAUAAAGUACGAGGCUCUAA